UAGUAAUUUAACCAUUUAUAUUCUUGUCACAACAUGUGAAGCAUACACAUUAUAUAACUUGAGAUCACACAAAAGAAAGAAACACAAUUGACAUCACAGGUUAGGAUCAACGGCAGGGAGCAAAAUAACUAACUGGAAAGGUCCAAAUUGCAUUAUAUUUCAUCAAUUGCACAUAGCUUAUCAUCAAAAUUAUAAGCACAACAGAGGAAAUUAGAGGAAAUAGGCAAUCCAACUAAAGGAAAAUGCAAACUAAGAUAAGCUAAGACCGGGAAGGCUAUAGAGAGAAUCUCUUUGUAUUAAUCAAAUACGAAUAACAAGCAAUUUCUGACUAAAAUAGGAAAAAAGGAGGCACAGAUUCGAUCAAAACAAGGCAUGUCAGAUAAUGGGACAAUAUACCCCAAGCCACUGCGAAGAAAGGGGGAAAAAGGAGGGGCAGUCGAGACCAACUCGGAUAUAGACAAGAAAUCUUCAACUUUUAGCAUGAUUCAAGGCGAAACAUACAAGCAAAACUCUGUAAAAUUUAGAAAGCUAACAACUAAUAUAGAUUCCAACAUCUAACCUUAAGAACAGAGGGUGAGGCAGUAAAGCAUUCAACUCAUGCGAUUACCCUAUUUGAAGUAACAAGAGAAUGAAGACAACCUUCAUAUAUCGAAUAAAGCAAACGAAAUCACCUAUAGAAGGUGAUUCCAAACUACAUGACUGACUCAUAACUUCGUAGUCAACCAAACGAAACAACAGUGAAACAAGAAGAAAAGGAAGAAAACCAACUCAACGCCUUACGGAAAACAUUAAGACUUCGAGCAAAACAACCCAAAAAAAGAUACUUGAACCGACAAAAGAGCUUAUAUCAAUGCUUUGCAAUCAACAAUAAGUCGAAACAAAUUCAACAUUCUAACAUUUAGACGCCUCAUACAACAGAAUCAAACUGCCAGCACAUCAGGAAACCAAAGACACGAACAGAAACAAAUAUUACCUUUUGAAAUGCAGCGUACUGGGACAGCGACGAGCUGAGACGAGCGAUAUAACCACCACAAUGAGAGUUUCGAGAAAUUCGGCAAAUCCCCCGCAACCCACGAACAAGAAGGAGAAAAUAUAUCUAACUAAUAGGUAUUUCUUAUGUCUUUUAUAGCUUUGCAAUUCUUUUUCUCUGUAAAUUCUUACCCUCAAAAUCCAACUUAAAAAACAUGCCCCCAAAUCACUUGAGCAUAGAGAACUAUUUCUGGGGAAAAUUGGGGCGAUUUAGGGGGAUGGAAUUUUGAAUUCAUAUGCUCUUUUUCAAGGAAACAGUAAAAGGGAUGGGCAAUUUCUGAAAAGGGGGAUGGGGACGCGACUGCUGCAGAAAAGGAGGACGGCAGACACUGGUGGUGUUUGGUGCUGCUACUGAUGUUGACGUGAUCGUCUAGGCGUAUGGGUUCACUGUACUGGAAGGAGAAAGGAGACACUAUUUAUUUUCUGGUUUUCGUGAAGAAAUAUUUCACAUGCACUUGACUCAAUUAGGAAUUUUCAAAAUCACCACUUUUUUCAACGUACAUGCCCUCAAAUGAAAGAAGUGUCCCAAGACCAUACACACAAAUAAACAAGACAAGGGACAAAGAUGCAAGACUCACACUCACAAAGAAUCAUCUCAUGCACACAAAUGUCACACCAUAAGCUUGCCCAUAUUUUCAAUCAACAAUACUCAACACUCCAUUUGGUUAGAAAUCUCAAAGGACUUUGUUAAGCUUGUAAUAUAGGCUUAGGGAAGGUUAGGAUAUCAUUUAGGUAUAAGUGACUACACCCUCCUUGAACACUACACAACAACUCAUCAUUUCCAACUUUCUCUACUUUUCAAACCCAUGCACAUUCCACACUAUUUUUCAUUAUUCUUUUCUUAUUUCUACUCUAGUUGCCCCACAUACAACCAUUUUCAACUUUUGGAGGAUUCAAGUCUCAUUUAUUCAUUUUCUUUCUUUCUUUUUCAAAGCAUUUUCUUUCUUUAAGACUUCUCAUCCAACCCUCAAUUUCUCUCUACUUUUUUUUUCUAUCAAGCGGAUAUGGUAAGCAUUGAUCACUUCAAUGAAUUUCCCAUAACACCACCAACUUAGGCUUUUAGCCUCGACUUUCACAACCUCAAGUUCAAGGAGGGAAGGGUUCAAAAGAGGGUUACUUUUUUCAAAAAGGAUAAGGCUUGUAAUGUGGUUGCCAAUAAAAAGGAUUAGGCUCAAAGGGGACAACUAAGGAUAUAUUUAGUGCAAAGGUGGGAUUUUUAGACAAAGUGGACUUCAAGAACAUCAAAGAAAGCCUAAGAUCAUUUCUCCAACCAAACUCAAUCAAGACCAACAUUUCAAGACCAACCGGGCAAGUUCUAGGUGACAAUAGCGAACACAAGGCAUUAUUCAAUAACUCACCACACAUGGCCUGCAAAUCAAUCAAGAUGGUUCAAAAUCUUACUUCCUUUUCAAAAUACAAGUAGCACUGAACAUUUUAACCGCUAACGAAUCAAAAGUCACAAAAAGAGUUGUAAGAGUUGUCACAAAUCAUUCAUAACAUGCUCAACCUUAUAAAAACGGAGAGGUAUGCUCAUGAUUCACAUGCAUGACUAUGCUCUUAGUACCAACCAAGUCAAAACCUUCCCAAAAUGACGAUGAUUUUACCCUUAAAGUCAUCAACCAAUCCAUCAACAAGCAACCUCAUGCAUCUAUUCGGGAACGGCUACUCAAACUUCGCCACAAUCAACGCCAAUCAAACAUUCACAAGCAAUCGAUGAUUUAACCUUAAGAAGGACGUCACUCUCUAUCCAUCAUCGGGGAUCGUUAAUCCAAAUCUUAUUAUAAAAAAAAAACAAAGAAGCUACAAACUACAAAUCAAAAACUAAAAUAGACCAAUCCAACACAAUAUCAACAGAAACAUCCACAAUAUCAAAGCCCGACAAGGGCACACCAAUCCA